rnacentral:rRNA from 1 species
GAUGUACGCUGGCGGCGCGCCUAACACAUGCAAGUCGAACGAUUAAAGCACCUUCGGGUGUGUAUAAAGUGGCGAACGGCUGAGUAACACGUGGGCAACCUGCCCCUUUCAUUGGGAUAGCCACGGGAAACCGUGGAUAAUACCGAAUACUUCGAGACUUCCGCAUGGAAGACUCGAGAAAGCUCCGGCGGAGAGGGAUGGGCCCGCGGCCUGUUAGCUUGUUGGUGGGGUAACGGCCUACCAAGGCAAUGAUGGGUAGCUGGGUUGAGAGACCGACCAGCCAGAUUGGGACUGAGACACGGCCCGGACUCCUACGGGAGGCAGCAGCGGGGAAUCUUGCACAAUGGGCGAAAGCCUGAUGCAGCGACGCCGCGUGCGGGAUGAAGGCCUUCGGGUUGUAAACCGCUUUCAGCAGGGACGAGGCGAAAGUGACGGUACCUGCAGAAGAAGCCCCGGCUAACUACGUG